rnacentral:lncRNA from 1 species
UACCUGUGCAGCACUCCAGAACCAUGGAAACUGUCAUGUAAUAAACAUGUUUGUUCUAAGCUGCUAUGGGGUGGUCCUCCAUUAUGCCACAAUAGGAAAUGAAUGCACUAGUCCUCAUUUCUGUCAAUAACCCUGUGGAUAUUGCUGUCUCCAUCAAAUCUGAGGGGUUUUGCUUAACAAUGCUUUACUCUGCUCCACUGGUUAGAUACAAUACUGUCUGCUUCUAACAAAUUGCCACCAUUUAUCAGCAAUUAACGCCGGCCUAAAAUGGAAGGGAAAGAAACCUCCAAGGAUCAGAGAGGAGAAUUUCACUUUCUGACCUUCCAAUCUGUGCUUAAAAG